rnacentral:rRNA from 1 species
CUACGGGAGGCACCAGUGAGGAAUAUUGCACAAUGGGGGGAACCCUGAUGCAGCAACGCCGCGUAGAGGAUGACGCAUUUCGGUGUGUAAACUCCUUUUAUAUGUCAAGAAAAUGACGGUAGCAUAUGAAUAAGCACCGGCUAACUCCGUGCCAGCAGCCGCGGUAAUACGGAGGGUGCAAGCGUUACUCGGAAUCACUGGGCGUAAAGGACGCGUAGGCGGGUUGGAAAGUCAGGUGUGAAAUCCUACAGCUUAACUGUAGAACUGCACUUGAAACUUCUAAUCUAGAGUAUGGGAGGGGAGAUGGAAUUAGUGGUGUAGGGGUAGAAUCCGUAGAUAUCACUAGGAAUACCUAAAGCGAAGGCGAUCUCCUGGAACAUUACUGACGCUAAGGCGUGAAAGCGUGGGGAGCAAACAGGAUUAGAUACCCUUGUAGUC